GCCGCUAGGGCGAAAAAAAGUCGAAAAUGUAAACGCCAAAGAGCGAUUAACUGAUUCAAAAUCCGCCGUUGGAAACAACGUGUCGGUUCGAGUCCGACCCUAGGCACCA
rnacentral:tRNA from 1 species